GAUGAAGAACGUAGCGAAAUGCGAUAAGUAAUGUGAAUUGCAGAGUUUAGUGAAUCAUCGAAUCUUUGAACGCACAUUGCGCCCGCCAGUAUUCUGGCGGGCAUGCCUGUUCGAGCGUCAUUUCAACCAUCAAGCCCCAGGCUUGUGUUGGGGACCUGCGGCUGCCGCAGGCCCUGAAAACCAGUGGCGGGCUCGCUAGUCACACCGAGCGUAGUAGCAUACACAUCGCUCAGGGCGUGCUGCGGGUUCCGGCCGUUAAACCCCUUUUUUACCCAAGGUUGACCUCGGAUCAGGUAGGAAGACCCGCUGAACUUAAGCAUAUCAAUAGCGGAGGA
rnacentral:misc_RNA from 1 species